UACGAAGGGGGCUAGCGUUGCUCGGAAUUACUGGGCGUAAAGCGCACGUAGGCGGUCUUUUAAGUCGGGGUGAAAUCCUGGAGCUCAACUCCAGAACUGCCUUCGAUACUGGAAGACUUGAGUCCGGGAGAGGUGAGUGGAACUGCGAGUGUAGAGGUGAAAUUCGUAGAUAUUCGCAAGAACACCAGUGGCGAAGGCGGCUCACUGGCCCGGUACUGACGCUGAGGUGCGAAAGCGUGGGGAGCAAACAGG
rnacentral:rRNA from 1 species